rnacentral:snRNA from 1 species
GUGCUCACUUCAGCAGCACAUAUACUAAAAUUGGAACAAUACAGAGAUUAGCAUGGCCCUUGCACAAGAAUGACAAGCAAAUUUGUGAAGCGUUCCAUAUAUUC